rnacentral:rRNA from 1 species
AUUGAACGCUGGCGGCAGGCCUAACACAUGCAAGUCGAGCGAGCGGCGGACGGGUGAGUAAUGUAUGGGGACUGCCCACUAGAGGGGGAUAACUACUGGAAACGGUGGCUAAUACCGCAUACGAUCGGAUAACCCAUAUGGGAUUAGGUAGUAGGUGGGGUAAAGGCUCACCUAGGCUACGAUCUCUAGCUGGUCUGAGAGGUUGAUCGGCCCAUCUGGGCCGGGUACACGGCCCAGACUCCUACGGAGGCAGCAUUGGGGAAUAUUGCACAAUGGGCGCAAGCCUGAUGCAGCCAUGCGGCGUGUAUGAAGAAGGCCUUAGGGUUGUAAAGUACUUUCAGCGGGGAGGCGUUACCCGCAGAAGAAGCACCGGCUAACUCCGUGCCAGCAGCCGCGGUAAUAC